CGCCGGUUGGGGGGGGGCUAUAAUGCAGUCGAACGAACUCUGGUAUUGAUUGGUGCUUGCAUCAUGAUUUACAUUUGAGUGAGUGGCGAACUGGUGAGUAACACGUGGGAAACCUGCCCAGAAGCGGGGGAUAACACCUGGAAACAGAUGCUAAUACCGCAUAACAACUUGGACCGCAUGGUCCGAGCUUGAAAGAUGGCUUCGGCUAUCACUUUUGGAUGGUCCCGCGGCGUAUUAGCUAGAUGGUGGGGUAACGGCUCACCAUGGCAAUGAUACGUAGCCGACCUGAGAGGGUAAUCGGCCACAUUGGGACUGAGACACGGCCCAAACUCCUACGGGAGGCAGCAGUAGGGAAUCUUCCACAAUGGACGAAAGUCUGAUGGAGCAACGCCGCGUGAGUGAAGAAGGGUUUCGGCUCGUAAAACUCUGUUGUUAAAGAAGAACAUAUCUGAGAGUAACUGUUCAGGUAUUGACGGUAUUUAACCAGAAAGCCACGGCUAACUACGUGCCAGCAGCCGCGGUAAUACGUAGGUGGCAAGCGUUGUCCGGAUUUAUUGGGCGUAAAGCGAGCGCAGGCGGUUUUUUAAGUCUGAUGUGAAAGCCUUCGGCUCAACCGAAGAAGUGCAUCGGAAACUGGGAAACUUGAGUGCAGAAGAGGACAGUGGAACUCCAUGUGUAGCGGUGAAAUGCGUAGAUAUAUGGAAGAACACCAGUGGCGAAGGCGGCUGUCUGGUCUGUAACUGACGCUGAGGCUCGAAAGUAUGGGUAGCAAACAGGAUUAGAUACCCUGGUAGUCCAUACCGUAAACGAUGAAUGCUAAGUGUUGGAGGGUUUCCGCCCUUCAGUGCUGCAGCUAACGCAUUAAGCAUUCCGCCUGGGGAGUACGGCCGCAAGGCUGAGACUCAAAGGAAUUGACGGGGGCCCGCACAAGCGGUGGAGCAUGUGGUUUAAUUCGAAGCUACGCGAGAUCUUACCAGGUCUUGACAUACUAUGCAAUCUAAGAGAUUAGACGUUCCCUUUCGGGGACAUGAUACAGUGGAUGCAUGUCGUCGUCAGCUCGUGUCGUGAGAUGUUGGGUUAAGUCCCCGCAACGAGCGCAACCCUGAUAC
rnacentral:rRNA from 2 species